AGUGAACACUGGCGGUAGGCCUAACACAUGCAAGUCGAACGGCAGCACAGUAAGAGCUUGCUCUUACGGGUGGCGAGUGGCGGACGGGUGAGGAAUACAUCGGAAUCUACUUUUUCGUGGGGGAUAACGUAGGGAAACUUACGCUAAUACCGCAUACGACCUACGGGUGAAAGCAGGGGAUCUUCGGACCUUGCGCGUUUGAAUGAGCCGAUGUCGGAUUAGCUAGUUGGCGGGGUAAAGGCCCACCAAGGCGACGAUCCGUAGCUGGUCUGAGAGGAUGAUCAGCCACACUGGAACUGAGACACGGUCCAGACUCCUACGGGAGGCAGCAGUGGGGAAUAUUGGACAAAGGGCGCAAGCCUGAUCCAGCCAUACCGCGUGGGUGAAGAAGGCCUUCGGGUUGUAAAGCCCUUUUGUUGGGAAAGAAAAGCAGCAGGUUAAUACCCCGCUGUUCUGACGGUACCCAAAGAAUAAGCACCGGCUAACUUCGUG
rnacentral:rRNA from 1 species